GACGAACGCUGGCGGCGUGCUUAACACAUGCAAGUCGAACGGAAAGGCCCUGCUUUUGUGGGGUGCUCGAGUGGCGAACGGGUGAGUAACACGUGAGUAACCUGCCCUUGACUUUGGGAUAACUUCAGGAAACUGGGGCUAAUACCGGAUAGGAGCUCCUGCUGCAUGGUGGGGGUUGGAAAGUUUCGGCGGUUGGGGAUGGACUCGCGGCUUAUCAGCUUGUUGGUGGGGUAGUGGCUUACCAAGGCUUUGACGGGUAGCCGGCCUGAGAGGGUGACCGGCCACAGUGGGACUGAGAUACGGCCUAGACACCUACGGGGGGCAGCAGUGGGGAAUAUUGCACAAUGGGCGGAAGCCUGAUGCAGCAACGCCGCGUGCGGGAUGAAGGCCCUCGGGUUGUAAACCGCUUUCGCCUGUGACGAAGCGUGAGUGACGGUAAUGGGUAAAGAAGCAGCGGCUGACUACGUG
rnacentral:rRNA from 1 species